CUCAGUUACAGAGCCUCACAGUUGCAGUUCCAAGAAGAAAACUGUCAAAACCAAAACUGAAAUUGAAGAUUAUAAAUCAGAAUAGCGUGGCCAUCCUUCAGACCCCUCCAGACAUCCAAUCAGAACAUUCAAGGGAUGGUGAUAUGGAUGAUAGUCGAGAAGGAGAACUUAUGGAUUGUGAUGGAAAAUCAGAAUCUAGUCCUGAGCGGGAAGCUGUGGAUGAUGAAACUAAGGGAGUGGAAGGAACAGAUGGUGUCAAAAAGAGAAAAAGGAAACCAUACAGACCAGGUAUUGGUGGAUUUAUGGUGCGGCAAAGAAGU